CUCCAGAUCUUUCCACAGAACUCUGUAAAGCCAGCUCUUAGACCCAAGUGGGUUUCAACCCUGCCUCCCAGGUGGACUCUGAGGGGCUGGUCCUCUGAGCCCCAGGGCCCUCCUCUCUGCCCUGUGAAGGCAGCGAUCCCGCCUGGCAGAACCGCAGCGAGACGGGGGUGCACACGCAGCUGAGGCUGCCUCUGGUCCCCUCGGCCCCCAACAUACCACUCUUCCUCAUGACCAGAACAUCGCCGCACUCAUCCUCGAUGGGCAGGAAGAUCUCAGGGACCACGAUGAGGAUCCUGCGCUUUGGGGGAGGCCUCCAGAUGGAUGCAAUGCACCCGAGAGCAGACGGGACGGAGCGGGAGGAGUCCAGUGUCCUCGUGGAGCUCGUGUGAGAUCAGGUUCCCACGGCAGAGCAGCAGCACCCACUUUUGCAGUGUGUGACGUUGGUGGAGCCAUCGAAGUCUGUGCUGGUGUUGCCCGGACAGGUGAUGCAGUGGUUCUGGCCAAACUCGGGCUGGGCCCUUGCCCGGCCCUGGAAAAGGCUCAGGAUGCAGAGAGUAUUCUGGCAUUGAGUGAGAGGCGGGUUUAGCACCCUCUCAGCCCAGACCCUGGGAUUCUCAGCUUCUACCCAAACACGGAAUCUCCUACCAGUGGCCACUCCCCCAGGGGUGGAGACCACACUCCUGGAGUGGGCGUGGGCCAGAGAGCAGCCGGCAGCCUGGACGGACUCAGGGCUGGGCUCUGAGCCCUUCCAUCACCGGGAGAAAGCUGGAGGUCUCCAGUAUCCUGGGACCCCACUCCCCCACCCUCACAGGCACUGUGCUUCUCAGGGUGCUGAGAACCUUCCCCGCGGAUUCUCUUGGGUGAAACUCACAGUGGCCUGGGAAGAAAGGCUCAUGGGGAGACUGAGCUAGCUUCACAGAUGGAGUUAAGUGGGGAGAGGGAGGUAAAUGCAAAAGCUCUUUGCAAACCUAACUGCAUUUGGUAAAUUGAAAAAGGGCUUUCUAAACCGUCUGUGGGGCACAUAAUAAAGUUCUUUGUGUGGAGCA
rnacentral:lncRNA from 1 species